rnacentral:rRNA from 1 species
UACGUAGGUGGCAAGCGAUACUCGGAAUCACUAGGCGUAAAGCGCAGGUAGGAGGUUUAGUAAGUCUGUUGUGAAAGCUCCCGGCUUAACUGGGAGAGGUCAACGGAAACUGCUAGGCUAGAGUGUGGUAGAGGUAGCUGGAAUUCCCGGUGUAGCGGUGAAAUGCGUAGAUAUCGGGAGGAAUACCUAUGGCGAAAGCAGGCUACUGGACCAUCACUGACUCUGAUCUGCGAAAGCUAGGGGAGCAAACAGG